rnacentral:rRNA from 1 species
GACGAACGCUGGCGGCGUGCUUAACACAUGCAAGUCGAACGGAAAGGCCCUGCUUUUGUUGGGUUCUCGAGUGGCGAACGGGUGAGUAACACGUGUGUAACCUGCCCUUGACUUUGGGGUAACUUCAGGAAACUGGGGCUAAUAUCGCAUAUGAUCUCCUGCUGCACGGUGGGGGUUGGUAAGAUACGGCGGUUGGGGAUGGUUUCGCGGCUUACCAGCUGGUUGGUCGGGUAGGGGCUUACCAAGGUUUCGACGGGUAGCCGGCCUGAGAGGGUAGCCGGCCACAUUGGGACUGAGAUACGGCCCAGACUGCUACGGGACGCAGCAGUGGAGAAUAUUGCACAAUGGGCGGAAGCCAGAUGCAGAGACGCCGCGUGCGGGAUGACGGCCUUCGGGUUGUAAACCGCUGUCGCAUGUGACGAAGCGUGAGUGACGGUACCGGGUAAAGAAGCACCGGCUAACUACGUG